CCUUCGGGGAACAUUGGGACAGUUGUUGCAUGGCUUUUCGUCAGCUUCGUUUCGUGAGAUGUUUGGGUUAAGUCCCGUAACGAGGCGCAACCCUUGUCCUUAGUUACCAGCACGUAAUGGUGGGCACUCUAAGGAGACUGCCGGUGACAAACCGGAGGAAGGUGGGGAUGACGUCAAGUCAUCAUGGCCCUUACGGCCUGGGCUACACACGUGCUACAAUGGUCGGUACAGAGGGUUNCCAAGCCGCGAGGUGGAGCUAAUCCCACAAAACCGAUCGUAGUCCGGAUCGCAGUCUGCAACUCGACUGCGUGAAGUCGGAAUCGCUAGUAAUCGCGAAUCAGAAUGUCGCGGUGAAUACGUUCCCGGGCCUUGUACACUCCGCCCGU
rnacentral:rRNA from 1 species